AGGGGUGUGCGAAGUCUGGGGAUCGCGCCUGGUUCGGAGCCGGGAGACCGCAGAUUCAAACCCAGUCACUCCGA
rnacentral:tRNA from 1 species